ACCCUCGUUAGUGCAGCCCGCAUCCAAGCUGGCCGGGGUGAUUGUUAGCAGCAAGUGGCGUCGCAGCGCUAUUGAAGCGUCCGCCAUUAUUCGGCGUUGGAUAUGGUGGAGCUCCACAUUUCUGAUUAUUCGUUACUUGGCAGAGGAUUCUCUUCUUUCUUUCUUCGAUUCUGCAUGAAAUGGCUUUUUUUAUAUUUUUUAUUUUUUUUGGCUGUGAAGUUUAACUGCCGUUUUUAUGUCUUGGACGGACUGGAGGCUAGGUAUCUCAUUGAACCCAACAGAGCUGUUGGAGCUCUGGCAUUUAACAAUCUUUCUUCCUCUUCGAGUGCUCGCUCCUUUUCCUUUACAAUUCUGAAAUUCCGUGGUGGCCCCGCAGGAUACAGGGCCCAUAUUACUGCG
rnacentral:sRNA from 1 species